rnacentral:rRNA from 1 species
GACGAACGCUGGCGGCGUGCUUAACACAUGCAAGUCGAACGGAAAGGCCCUGCUUUUGUGGGGUGCUCGAGUGGCGAACGGGUGAGUAACACGUGAGUAACCUGCCCUUGACUUUGGGAUAACUUCAGGAAACUGGGGCUAAUACCGGAUAGGAGCUCCUGCUGCAUGGUGGGGGUUGGAAAGUUUCGGCGGUUGGGGAUGGACUCGCGGCUUAUCAGCUUGUUGGUGGGGUAGUGGCUUACCAAGGCUUUGACGGGUAGCCGGCCUGAGAGGGUGACCGGCGACAUUGGGACUGAGAUACGGACCAGACUCCUACGGGAGGCAGCAGUGGGGAAUAUUGCACAGUGGGCGGAAGCCUGAUGCAGCAACGCCGCGUGCGGGAUGACGGCCUUCGGGUUGUAAACCGCUUUCGCCUGUGACGAAGCGUGAGUGACGGUAAUGGGUAAAGAAGCACCGGCUAACUACGUG